rnacentral:rRNA from 1 species
CAGCAGCCGCGGUAAUACGUAGGUGGCAAGCGUUGUCCGGAAUUAUUGGGCGUAAAGCGCGCGCAGGCGGAUAGGUCAGUCUGUCUUAAAAGUUCGGGGCUUAACCCCGUUAUGAGAUGGAAACUGCCAAUCUAGAGUAUCGGAGAGGAAAGUGGAAUUCCUAGUGUAGCGGUGAAAUGCGUAGAUAUUAGGAAGAACACCAGUGGCGAAGGCGACUUUCUGGACGAAAACUGACGCUGAGGCGCGAAAGCCAGGGGAGCGAACGGGAUUAGAUACCCCCGUAGUCCCUGUCUCUUAUACA